rnacentral:miRNA from 1 species
GCCAAUCAGCAGCAGACUCUCCCUCCCAGACCCUCCCACCUCCUGGACAGCUCACUAAGAAUGCAGCUUCACAAUGAAUGUAAAAUGGAUGCUGUCCAGGAGGUGGGAGGGUCUGGGAGGGAGGGUCUGCUGCUCAUUGGCU